GUGAACGCUGGCGGUAGGCCUAACACCUGCAAGUCGAACGGCAGCACAGUAGGAGCUUGCUCUUACGGGUGGCGAGUGGCGGACGGGUGAGGAAUACAUCGGAAUCUACUUUUUCGUGGGGGAUAACGUAGGGAAACUUACGCUAAUACCGCAUACGACCUACGGGUGAAAGCAGGGGAUCUUCGGACCUUGCGCGAUUGAAUGAGCCGAUGUCGGAUUAGCUAGUUGGCGGGGUAAAGGCCCACCAAGGCGACGAUCCGUAGCUGGUCUGAGAGGAUGAUCAGCCACACUGGAACUGAGACACGGUCCAGACUCCUACGGGAGGCAGCAGUGGGGAAUAUUGGACAAUGGGCGCAAGCCUGAUCCAGCCAUACCGCGUGGGUGAAGAAGGCCUUCGGGUUGUAAAGCCCUUUUGUUGGGAAAGAAAAGCAGCAGGUUAAUACCCCGCUGUUCUGACGGUACCCAAAGAAUAAGCACCGGCUAACUUCGUG
rnacentral:rRNA from 1 species